AGCAGUCGCCACGGUAAUACGAAGGGUGCAAGCGUUACUCGGAAUUACUGGGCGUAAAGCGUGCGUAGGUGGUGGUUUAAGUCCGUUGUGAAAGCCCUGGGCUCAACCUGGGAAUUGCAGUGGAUACUGGGUCACUAGAGUGUGGUAGAGGAUAGUGGAAUUUCCGGUGUAGCAGUGAAAUGCGUAGAGAUCGGAAGGAACAUCUGUGGCGAAGGCGACUAUCUGGGACAACACUGACGCUGAGGCACGAAGGCGUGGGGAGCAAACAGGAUUAGAUACCCGCGUAGUCCCUGUCUCUUAUAC
rnacentral:rRNA from 1 species